rnacentral:rRNA from 1 species
GAUGAACGCUGGCGGCGUGCCUAAUACAUGCAAGUCGAGCGAAAAGACGAGGAGCGUUCUCCACGGACGUCAGAGGGGGACGGAUGAGUAACACGUGGAUAACCUAGCUAUAAGACUGGGAUAACAACGGGAAACCGGAGCGAAUACCGGCUAAGAUAUAGAACCGGAGGGUGCAAGAGUGAAAGACGGUGUUGCGGUCGAUUAUAGAUGGAGCCGCGUCGGAUUAGCUAGUUGGUAAGGUAACGGCUUACCAAGGCGACGAUGCGUAGCCGAUCUGAGAGGGUGAUCGGCCACACUGGAACUGAGACACGGUCCAGACUCCUACGGGAGGCAGCAGUAGGGAAUCUUCCGCAAUGGGCGAAAGCCUGACGGAGCAACGCCGCGUGAGUGAUGAAGGUCUUCGGAUCGUAAAAUGCUGUUAUUAGGGAAGAACAAAUGUUUAAGUAUCCCUGCACGUCUUGACGGUACCUAAUGAGUAAGCCCCGGCUAACUACGUG